UUAAGCAUAUAUGGUAUUAUUAUCUCCUUAAAAAUAUUGUUUAAUUCAAUAUCCGAUUAUCAUUUUGACCGUUCUUCUUCUUCUAUUACGAUUUUAUCCAUCAUAACACACAUGAUAACUUGGAGAGAUUUUUAAAAAUCUAUCCGGAACAAUGUUUGGUGCAACAAAAUGUAAUAACUCAAUUAGUUGGAAAUUAAAAAAAAAAUCCAUGAAUUGCAUUGUAACAUUUGGUGUAAUGUUGUUUGUAUGUUAUGCUAGACCUAUUAUAUCAGAAAGAUCAAUCAAUUCGAGAGUUUUCAUUGUUCCUUUUCAAUCUCUCUCUCUCUCUCUUGUUUCUCUUUAUAUCAUCUUCUUUUGAACUAAUCAUUCAUCUUUUGCAAUGUAGUUAAUAGUUCCACCAGAUAGACCGUGUGUACUAAAUUCCAUCUUCUAGUUUUAGGUUUGGUAUGUGAUCGAGGGCUUGGUCUUGGAGACUUGUUAGGAGAACUCAACAAAUUCUUCUCACAUUUAGGUAAGACAUUAGCUGGCAUCAAGGAGGAGUGUUCUGUGUGCCCAUUUCAAAGGAAGUGUUCAGUGUGCCAGGAAAACGGCAUGGUAUACCAAGUGUUACAAUACA
rnacentral:lncRNA from 1 species